rnacentral:rRNA from 1 species
GACGAACGCUGGCGGCGUGCUUAACACAUGCAAGUCGAGCGGUAAGGCCCUUUCGGGGGUACACGAGCGGCGAACGGGUGAGUAACACGUGGGUGACCUGCCCUUAGCUCUGGGAUAAGCCUGGGAAACUGGGUCUAAUACCGGAUAUGACUCCAUGACGCAUGUUGUGGGGUGGAAAGCCUUGUGCGGCUAGGGAUGGGCCCGCGGCCUAUCAGCUUGUUGGUGGGGUGAUGGCCACCAAGGCGACGACGGGUAGCCGGCCCUGAGAGGGCGACCGGCCACACUGGGACUGAGACACGGCCCAGACUCCUACGGGAGGCAGCAGUGGGGAAUCUUGCGCAAUGGCGAAAGCCUGACGCAGCGACGCCGCGUGAGGGAUGACGGCCUCGG